UCCCUAGGUGAACCUGCGGAAGGAUCAUUAGUGAAAAUUAGCGCAUCUACUUGUAGAGCGUGACCUCCACUUUCUAACUCUGUGCAUUUAUUGGCGGAAGGACUUGAGCAAAUGAGUUUCCUUCUGCGGCUCAUUUUAAAACACUAGUUAAAGUAUGUAACGAAAAAUCGAAACAAAAAAAACUUUCAACAACGGAUCUCUUGGCUUGCUCAUCGAUGAAGAACGCAGCGAAAAGUGAUAAGUAAAGUGAAAUGCAGAAAUCAGUGAAACAUCGAAACUUUGAACGCACCUUGCGCUCUCUGGUAUUCCCGAGAGCAUGUCUGUUUGAGUGUCAUGAACUCUUCAACCCACCAGUUUCUUGUAGACUGAAAGGUGUUUGGUUUUUGAGCGUUGCUGGUCUUCGGAUCUAGCUCGUUCGUAAUAUAUUAGCAUCUCUAAAUCGAACUCGGAUUGACUCAGUGUAAAAGACUAUUCGCUGAGGACACGCUCUUGUAGUGUGGCCCAAAGAGAUCUCAGUAGAAGCUUCCAACUACUUUAGUCAACUUUAGAUUAGACCUCAGAUCAGGCAGGAUUACCCCCUGAACUUAAGCAUAUCAAAAAGCGGAGGA
rnacentral:rRNA from 1 species